rnacentral:rRNA from 1 species
AUUGAACGCUGGCGGCAGGCUUAACACAUGCAAGUCGAGCGGUAACAGAGAGAAGCUUGCUUCUCUGCUGACGAGCGGCGGACGGGUGAGUAAUGCCUAGGAAUCUGCCUAGUAGUGGGGGAUAACUUGCCGAAAGGUAAGCUAAUACCGCAUACGUCCUACGGGAGAAAGGAGGGGACCUUCGGGCCUUUCGCUAUUAGAUGAGCCUAGGUCGGAUUAGUUAGUUGGUGAGGUAAUGGCUCACCAAGACCGCGAUCCGUAACUGGUCUGAGGGGUGCAUCAGUCACACUGGAACUGAGACACGGUCCAGAUUCCUACGGGAGGCAGCAGUGGGGAAUAUUGGACAAUGGGAGGAACCCUGAUCCAGCCAUGCCGCGUGUGUGAAGAAGGUCUUAGGAUUGUAAAGCACUUUAAGUUGGGAGGAAGAGCAGUUAACUAAUAUUUGACUGUUUUGACGUUACCGACAGAAUAAGCACCGGCUAACUUCGUGCCAGCCGCCGCCGUAA